UUAGUGUCACUAUUGCAUGUCAAGAGGACUGGUUGAGCUGCUGAAAAUGAAAGCCUGUCAAAAGUCCUGCUUGGCCUCCAUUUACAGUCAGGCUGGAAAGCUUUCUGGGAAUUCAGGGUCUCAUGGCAAGAUAAAAAUCUGCAAAAUCUUCUAGAAUUCCCUGCAGUCAGUGCUAGGUGGCCAAGCAGCAGGACAUUUUCAAGCACCACCUGCACAGUCUGGCUCAGAACCUGGCAGAGAAACACGGGUGGUCUCCAGACACCAACUGCAGUCGUGCUGACGCUGCACGUCCAGCCCUACUUAGAGAGACUUGGGAACGUAUAAUGCUACCUUAGUAAGUAAAGCCCCUAUUUAGGCUAACUUAAAGCAGCUUUUCAUCUUUGCUAAUGAAAAUCUGCAGUUAUGAUCCUAAGUAUUUUUCCAAAUACUUCUGCAGCUUUGGGUGCAAUCCAACACCCACUGACUUGAAAGAAAAAAAUCUGACUGUAGCAGGCCACUCCUGCUGACAAUCCUGUACCAGCUGCAGAGGCUGCCCAACAGGGGAAGAGUCCAAAAUUCAGCAGAGGCUCCUCAACCAGCCUAAUGCUCCCACAGAGCUUGCACG
rnacentral:lncRNA from 1 species